rnacentral:rRNA from 1 species
UACGUAGGGGGCAAGCGUUAUCCGGAAUUACUGGGUGUAAAGGGUGAGUAGGCGGCAUGGUAAGCCAGAUGUGAAAGCCUUGGGCUUAACCCGAGGAUUGCAUUUGGAACUAUCAAGCUAGAGUACAGGAGAGGAAAGCGGAAUUCCUAGUGUAGCGGUGAAAUGCGUAGAUAUUAGGAAGAACACCAGUGGCGAAGGCGGCUUUCUGGACUGAAACUGACGCUGAGGCACGAAAGCGUGGGGGGCGAACAGG